rnacentral:tRNA from 1 species
GCCUCCAUAGCGCAGUAGGCACGCGCGCGAGUCUCAUAAUCUCGAGGUUGUGAGUUAGAACCUCACUCGGGGCA